GAUGAACGCUGGCGGCGUGCCUAACACAUGCAAGUCGAGCGAGAACCGCUGGAAUGACACUUCGGUAGAAUGAAAGCGGGGAAAGCGGCGGACGGGUGAGUAACGCGUAGGUAACCUGCCCCAUACACAGGGAUAGCCUAGGGAAACCUGGAUUAAUACCUGAUGAAGCAACUGGUCGCAUGACCGGCUGCCAAAGAUUUAUCGGUAUGGGAUGGACCUGCGUCUGAUUAGUGAGUUGGUGGGGUAAGUGGCCUACCAAAGCGACGAUCAGUAGCCGACCUGAGAGGGUGAUCGGCCACAUUGGAACUGAGACACGGUCCAAACUCCUGCGGGAGGCAGCAGUGGGGGAUAUUGCACAAUGGGCGGAAGCCUGAUGCAGCAACGCCGCGUGAGCGAAGAAGGUCUUCGGAUCGUAAAGCUCUGUCCUGGGGAAGAAACAAAUGACGGUACCCCGGGAGGAAGCCCCGGCUAACUACGUGCCAGCAGCCGCGGUAAAACG
rnacentral:rRNA from 1 species